CCUACGGGAGGCAGCAGUGGGGAAUAUUGGGCAAUGGGCGCAAGCCUGACCCAGCAACGCCGCGUGAAGGAAGAAGGCUUUCGGGUUGUAAACUUCUUUCGUCAGGGAAGAGUAGAAGACGAUACCUGACGAAUAAGCCACGGCGAACUACGUGCCAGCAGGCGCGGUUAAACGUCGGUGGCAAGCGGUGUCCGGUUUUACUGGGUGUAAAGGGCGUGUAGCCGGGUUGACAAGUCAGAUGUGAAAUCCUGCGGCUUAACCGCAGAACUGCUUUUGAAACUGUUGAUCGUGAGUACUGGAGAGGCAGACGGAAUUCCUAGUGUAGCGGGGAAAUGCGUAGAUAUUAGGAGGAACACCAGUGGCGAAGGCGGUCUGCUGGACAGCAACUGACGGUGAGGCGCGAAAGCGUGGGGAGCAAACAGGAUUAGAUACCCUAUAGUC
rnacentral:rRNA from 1 species